rnacentral:misc_RNA from 1 species
GAUGAAGAACGCAGUGAAAUGCAAUAAGUAAUGUGAAUUGCAGAAUCCAGUGAAUCAUCGAAUCUUUGAACGCACAUUGCGCCCGCCAGCAUUCUGGCGGGCAUGCCUGUUCGAGCGUCAUUUCAACCCUCGACCUCCCUUUGGGGAAGUCGGCGUUGGGGACCGGCAGCACACCGCCGGCCCUGAAAUGGAGUGGCGGCCCGUCCGCGGCGACCUCUGCGUAGUAAACCAACUCGCACCGGAACCCCGACGUGGCCACGCCGUAAAACACCCAACUUCUGAACGUUGACCUCGAAUCAGGUAGGACUACCCGCUGAACUUAAGCAUAUCAAUAAGCGGAGGA